rnacentral:rRNA from 1 species
AACGAACGCUGGCGGCAGGCCUAACACAUGCAAGUCGAACGAGAAAGCUCCUUUCGGGGGGCGAGUAAAGUGGCGCACGGGUGAGUAACACGUGGGUAAUCUGCCCCUUGGCGCGGGACAACAGCUCGAAAGGGCUGCUAAUACCGCAUAAGCCGGUGACGCCGUCAGGUGUUACCGAGAAAGAUGGCCUCUCCCUGGAAGCUAUCGCCAAAGGAUGAGCUCGCGGCCCAUCAGCUAGAUGGUGAGGUAAUGGCUCACCAUGGCUAAGACGGGUAGCUGGUCUAAGAGGAUGAUCAGCCACACUGGGACUGAGACACGGCCCAGACUCCUACGGGUGGCAG